rnacentral:lncRNA from 1 species
AAAUUGGAAAAUCAAAUCCAAAUUGGAACCAAAACGGAAAUUUCUUCAGACACCAAAUCAAAUCCAAUUGGAGAAUCAAACGGGGCUUUCUUCGGACCCCAAAUCAAAUUGGAAAAUCAAAUCCAAAUCCAAAUCAAACGGAGAUUUCUUUGGACCCCAAAUCCAAAUCGAGAUCAAAAGGAGAUUUUUUCGGACCCCAAAUCAAACCAAAAUCAAAAAGGGAUUUCUUUAGAUCCGUAUCAAGUUGCAAAUCAAGUUCACAUAAGAACCCAAACCAAACCAAAAUCCAAAUAAAAUCCAAACCAAACCAAAUCAAAUCCAAACCCAAAACGAAACCAAAUCCAAAUCCAGUCCACAUAAAAAUCCAAACCCAAAGUCCAAAUAAAAAACCCAAAACCAAAUACAGGCCACAAAUAAACCCAAACCCAAACCCAAACCAAAUACAGUCCACAAAUAAACACAAACCCAAAACCCAAAUCAAAUCCAAACCCAAACCCAAAUCAAGUGUAACACACUGGACCUUUGCAAAUUGCGAGGUUCGAGUGAUUGGAUGUGUUCUGAGUUUUUUCAGACUUUCUGGUGGGUAGUAGACAGUGUUCCGACCUAUGGUUCGAACCCCAAGGAUUGAGGUCUGAAGCCUAGCACCAAAACUCGAAAAAUCAGAUUUUUGGUUAGCUCUCGGGUAGCCUUCAUUGGGCUGUGUACCGGUAUAGGGUUGAUGGCUGUACCGGUACAGGGUUGAUGGUUGUACCGGUACGGGGUUGUGUACCGGUACACAGGCAGCUUUCCAGCCAACCCGAGGUUCGGGUUUGGCAUUUUCGUGGGAUGUGUACCGGUACGUGGGCCCGUGUAUCGGUACGCAGUGACAGAUUUUGAAUGAUCAAAACUGCAGGGGUGUUUUUG